rnacentral:rRNA from 1 species
GAUGAACGCUAGCUACAGGCUUAACACAUGCAAGUCGAGGGGCAGCGGUAUCGAAAGCUUGCUUUCGGUAGCCGGCGACCGGCGCACGGGUGAGUAACGCGUAUCGAACCUGCCUCAUACUCGGGAAUAGCCUUGCGAAAGUAAGAUUAAUGCCCGGUGUUUUCAGAGUCCCGCAUGAGGCUUUGAACAAAGAUUUAUCGGUAUGAGAUGGCGAUGCGUCCCAUUAGCUUGUUGGCGGGGUAACGGCCCACCAAGGCAUCGAUGGGUAGGGGUUCUGAGAGGAAGGUCCCCCACAUUGGAACUGAGACACGGUCCAAACUCCUACGGGAGGCAGCAGUGAGGAAUAUCGGUCAAUGGGCGGAAGCCUGAACCAGCCAAGUAGCGUGCAGGAAGACGGCCCUCCGGGUUGUAAACUGCUUUUAGUUGGGAAUAAAACGGGGCUCGUGAGCCCCCUUGCAUGUACCAUCAGAAAAAGGACCGGCUAAUUCCGUG